AGUGAACGCUGGCGGUAGGCCUAACACAUGCAAGUCGAACGGCAGCACAGUAAGAGCUUGCUCUUACGGGUGGCGAGUGGCGGACGGGUGAGGAAUACAUCGGAAUCUACUUUUUCGUGGGGGAUAUCGUAGGGAAACUUACGCUAAUACCGCAUACGACCUACGGGUGAAAGCAGGGGCUCUUCGGACCUUGCGCGAUUGAAUGAGCCGAUGUCGGAUUAGCUAGUCGGCGGGGUAAAGGCCCACGAAGGCGACGAUCCGUAGCUGGUCUGAGAGGAUGAUCAGCCACACUGGAACUGAGACACGGUCCAGACUCCUACGGGAAGCAGCAGUGGGGAAUAUUAGACAAUGGGCGCAAGGCUGAUCCAGCCAUACCGCGUGGGUGAAGAAGGACUUCGGGUUGUAAAGCCCUUUUGUUGGGAAAGAAAAGCAGCAGGUUAAUACCCCGCUGUUCUGACGGUACCCAAAGAAUAAGCACCGGCUAACUUCGUG
rnacentral:rRNA from 1 species